rnacentral:rRNA from 1 species
UUGAAAGGGAAACGAUUGAAGUCAGUCGUGCUGGCGCGAAAUCAACCUUCUCGUCCNUGAGAUCACAUGGCGUGGCGAGCCUCAAAACCGUCACGAAGCGUGAACUCUUGGUGAAAUGGAGCACUUUCGUGUCCGCUGGUUAACAUCAAUUUCGAACGCCAUAAAAAGGCUGGAGGGAUGUGGCUCCUUCGGGAGUGUUAUAACCUUUAGCGGAAUGUGGUGUUCGGGAUUGAGGAUUGCAACGAAUACCUUUAGGGCUGUUCCACCUGGCUUCUCUUUGGUAUCCUGGUGACGACAGCUUGCUGACGUCGUUAGGAUUCGCCUUUGAACAGGCUAGAGUGUGAGCAAAUCGUUAAGGAUGUUGACGUA